rnacentral:misc_RNA from 1 species
GAUGAAGAACGCAGCGAAAUGCGAUAAGUAAUGUGAAUUGCAGAAUUCAGUGAAUCAUCGAAUCUUUGAACGCACAUUGCGCCCCUUGGUAUCCCGAGGGGCAUGCCUGUUCGAGCGUCAUUUCACCACUCAAGCCUGGCUUGGUGUUGGGCGACGUCCCCUUUGGGGACGCGCCUCGAAACGCUCGGCGGCGUGGCACCGGCUUUAAGCGUAGCAGAAUCUUUCGCUUUGGAAGUCGGGGCCCCGUCUGCCGGAAGACCUACUCGCAAGGUUGACCUCGGAUCAGGCAGGGAUACCCGCUGAACUUAAGCAUAUCAAUAAGCGAGGA